AUAUUGGACAAUGGGGGCAACCCUGAUCCAGCCAUGCCGCGUGUGUGAAGAAGGUCUUCGGAUUGUAAAGCACUCUAAGUUGGGAGGAAGGGCUUUAGGCUAAUACCCUGAAGUUUUGACGUUACCAACAGAAUAAGCACCGGCUAACUCUAUGCCAGCAGCCGCGGUAAUAACGAAGGUGCAAGCGUUAAUCGGAAUCACUGGGAGUAAAGCGCGCGUAAGUGGUUCAGGAAGAUGGGUGUGAAAACCCCGGGCUUAAACUGGGAACUGCUUUCAUAACUGCUGAGCUAAAGUACGGGAGAGGGUAGUGGAAUUUCCUGUGUAGCGGUGAAAUGCGUAGAUAUAGGAAGGAACACCAGUGGCGAAGGCGACUACCUGGACUGAUACUGACACUGAGGUGCGAAAGCGUGGGGAGCAAACA
rnacentral:rRNA from 1 species